UAUCCGGAUUUAUUGGGUUUAAAGGGAGCGUAGGCGGGUGCUUAAGUCAGUUGUGAAAGUUUGCGGCUCAACCGUAAAAUUGCAGUUGAUACUGGGUACCUUGAGUGCAGCAUAGGUAGGCGGAAUUCGUGGUGUAGCGGUGAAAUGCUUAGAUAUCACGAAGAACUCCGAUUGCGAAGGCAGCUUACUGGACUGUAACUGACGCUGAUGCUCGAAAGUGUGGGUAUCAAACAGGAUUAGAUACCCUGGUAGUCCACACAGUAAACGAUGAAUACUCGCUGUUGGCGAUACACAGUCAGCGGCCAAGCGAAAGCAUUAAGUAUUCCACCUGGGGAGUACGCCGGCACGGUGAAACUCAUGAGGAAUUGACGGGGGCCCGCACAAGCGGAGGAACAUGUGGU
rnacentral:rRNA from 1 species